GUGGGGAAUAUUGGACAAUGGGCGCAAGCCUGAUCCAGCCAUACCGCGUGGGUGAAGAAGGCCUUCGGGUUGUAAAGCCCUUUUGUUGGGAAAGAAAUCCUGUCGGUUAAUACCUGGCGGGGAUGACGGUACCCAAAGAAUAAGCACCGGCUAACUUCGUGCCAGCAGCCGCGGUAAUACGAAGGGUGCAAGCGUUACUCGGAAUUACUGGGCGUAAAGCGUGCGUAGGUGGUGGUUUAAGUCCGUUGUGAAAGCCCUGGGCUCAACCUGUGAAUUGCAGUGGAUACUGGAUCACUAGAGUGUGGUAGAGGGAUGCGGAAUUUCUGGUGUAGCAGUGAAAUGCGUAGAGAUCAGAAGGAACAUCCGUGGCGAAGGCGGCAUCCUGGGCCAACACUGACACUGAGGCACGAAAGCGUGGGGAGCAAACAGGAUUAGAUACCCUUGUAGUCC
rnacentral:rRNA from 1 species